AAGUCUGAUUUAUGUGGUGAGUGGACUUAAAAAAACUGCUGUAGUCUAAAAUCAAUUUUUCAGUAUUGAAAGCCUUUGAGCUUUGGUUUAGAUUUUUUAUUUUUGUUUGUUUUUAAUUUCCUGUUCAUUGCUCUCACCAUGCCUCCCUUUUUACACAGACCUAAAGGAUCAGACUGUGGCAUUGUAAAUGUCAACAUUCCAACAAGUGGGGCUGAGAUUGGAGGUGCCUUUGGAGGAGAAAAGCACACUGGUGGUGGCAGGGAGUCUGGCAGUGAUGCCUGGAAACAGUACAUGAGAAGGUCUACUUGUACUAUCAACUACAGUAAAGACCUUCCUCUGGCCCAAGGAAUCAAGUUUCAGUAAAGGUGUUUUAGAUGAACAUCCCUUAAUUUGAGGUGUUCCGGCAGCUGUUUUUGGAGAAGACAAAGAAAAUUAAAGUUUUCCCUGAAUAAAUGCAUUAUUAUGACUGUGACAGUGACUAAUCCCCCUAUGACCCCAAAGCCCUGAUUAAAUCAAGAGACUCCUUUUUUAAAAAUCAAAAUAAAAUUGUUACAACAUAGCCAUAGUUACUAAAA
rnacentral:sRNA from 1 species